AGUGAACGCUGGCGGCAGGCCUAACACAUGCAAGUCGAGCGGCAGCGGGUCCUUCGGGAUGCCGGCGAGCGGCGGACGGGUGAGUAAUACAUCGGAAUCUGCCCUGUCGUGGGGGAUAACCUAGGGAAACUUAGGCUAAUACCGCAUACGACCUACGGGUGAAAGCGGGGGAUCGCAAGACCUCGCGCGACAGGAUGAGCCGAUGUCCGAUUAGCUAGUUGGCGGGGUAAAGGCCCACCAAGGCGACGAUCGGUAGCUGGUCUGAGAGGAUGAUCAGCCACACUGGGACUGAGACACGGCCCAGACUCCUACGGGAGGCAGCAGUGGGGAAUAUUGGACAAUGGGCGCAAGCCUGAUCCAGCCAUGCCGCGUGGGUGAAGAAGGCCUUCGGGUUGUAAAGCCCUUUUGUCCGGGAAGAAAUCGUCUGGGCUAAUACCCCGGGCGGAUGACGGUACCGGAAGAAUAAGCACCGGCUAACUUCGUG
rnacentral:rRNA from 1 species